rnacentral:rRNA from 1 species
ACGGGUGAGUAAUGUCUGGGGAUCUGCCCGAUAGAGGGGGAUAACCACUGGAAACGGUGGCUAAUACCGCAUAACGUCGCAAGACCAAAGAGGGGGACCUUCGGGCCUCUCACUAUCGGAUGAACCCAGAUGGGAUUAGCUAGUAGGCGGGGUAAUGGCCCACCUAGGCGACGAUCCCUAGCUGGUCUGAGAGGAUGACCAGCCACACUGGAACUGAGACACGGUCCAGACUCCUACGGGAGGCAGCAGUGGGGAAUAUUGCACAAUGGGCGCAAGCCUGAUGCAGCCAUGCCGCGUGUAUGAAGAAGGCCUUCGGGUUGUAAAGUACUUUCAGCGGGGAGGAAGGCGAUAAGGUUAAUAACCUUGUCGAUUGACGUUACCCGCAGAAGAAGCACCGGCUAACUCCGUGCCAGCAGCCGCGGUAAUACGGAGGGUGCAAGCGUUAAUCGGAAUUACUGGGCGUAAAGCGCACGCAGGCGGUCUGUUAAGUCAGAUGUGAAAUCCCCGGGCUUAACCUGGGAACUGCAUUUGAAACUGGCAGGCUUGAGUCUCGUAGAGGGGGGUAGAAUUCCAGGUGU